rnacentral:rRNA from 1 species
UACGUAGGUGGCAAGCGUUGUCCGGAUUUACUGGGCGUAAAGGGCGUGCAGGCGGUUUGUUAAGUCUAGGGUGAAGGCUCCCGGCUCAACUGGGAGAGGUCCUUGGAUACUGGCGAACUUGAGGGAUGCAGAGGAAAGUGGAAUUCCCGGUGUAGUGGUGAUAUGCGUAGAUAUCGGGAGGAACACCAGUGGCGAAGGCGGCUUUCUGGGCAUUUCCUGACGCUGAGACGCGAAAGCGUGGGGAGCGAACCGG